CAACCUCUCGCUCAUUAGAAACACAUCUAUUUUAUUGUUUUCAGAAAACGAAAGCAGAAAGGAGCAAAAUGGAGAGCGCUCUCUUAUCGGUUUCUCGCUUUCUCCCUUCAAAAAAUAGAGAGGUGGGUGGGCAAUUAAGGAAUUUUCAGAGCUCAUUUUAUGGCAAUCUGAUGUUUAACAAAAAUUUUGUGAGGAAAGAUAUCAGUACCCGAAAUGGUGGCAGCAUUGUCGUCUCCUCAGUGCUUGGAAGGAAGGUCAAGAAAGAAACUGUGAUUCCAGAGCCAGAUUAUCGAAUACCUAUAGUCCUACUUGGGAUGGCUGGUGGCUUAGUUUAUACAGAUAAUCUAUUUCCAGCAGCUCCUGUUGGCCUCCUUGGAUUACUCCUACUGUUCCAGACGACUAGAGUGAGAUUUGUCUUUGAUGAAGAGGCCCUGGAGGUAAAAGUUGGAGACCAACUUCAGGAGGCCGGUGAAAAUGUUUUUGUGGGUGGAAAGAACCGUUGGAAAUAUUCAACAUUUGUGAAUUGGGAGCUCUGGUGGCCAGACUUUCCGAUUUUGGUGUAUUUUAAGGAGACACAGACAAAGCCUGAAGGACAAAUCCACUUCUUCCCAGUAAUUUUUAAUGGAAAGCAACUUUAUGAGGUUAUGGUGGAGCGUUGCGGCCCUUCAAAAACUAGCAGCCCUGAUAAGUCCUAAAAGCUUGAGCCUUUCUGGUUACAGCCAACUGGCCAUGCCAUCUGAGAUCACGAAUGUGUUAGUAUCAUGAGGUAAAGAAGAUUGUUUAUACAUUCAGUACAUAAUAAUAAAGCUGCAUUUAGGACGCAUGUACAGUUUACUCUAGAGCUGUCAAUGUAUGUAAGAGAUCUAUUAUUUACAUACCAUUGUAUUGAGGUGCACUGCAGCGAGCUCGAACUAUUAUACUGGAGUAUUCUGAUAUCAUAGUAAAUUCAGUAUCAUGAAUAUGAUUGGGAAGAAUACCAGAAAAAUUACUUUGCAUGA